rnacentral:rRNA from 1 species
GACCAACCUCUGGUGCACCAGUUGUUCCGCCAGGAGCACAGCUGGGUAGCUAUGUUGGGAAGGGAUAAACGCUGAAAGCAUCUAAGCGUGAAGCCCACCUCAAGAUUAGAUUUCCCAUAGCGUAAGCUAGUAAGACCCCUGAAAGACUAUCAGGUUGAUAGGUUGGAGGUGUAAGUACAGUAAUGUAUUCAGCUGACCAAUACUAAUAGGUCGAGGGCUUGAUCAAAUA